AACGCACCUUGCGCCCCUUGGUAUUCCGAGGGGCAUGUCUGUUUGAGUGUCAUGUCAUUCUCAAUCCUCUUUUUCUUAAUUGAAGAAGAGGCUUGGACUUGGAGGGUAUAUCCAUGCUGGUACUGUCUGUAUCGGCUCCUCUCAAAUGCAUUAGCUGGACUGUAGUUCGCAUUGUUUGGUGUAGUAAUAGUUUUCUAUCUAUAGUCACUACAGUGCUUGCUUAGACUGUCUGCUUCCAAUAGUCCACCUAUGUGUUGGACAGGUACUCUGUUACCUUGACCCAUUUGACCUCAAAUCAGGUAGGACUACCCGCUGAACUUAA
rnacentral:misc_RNA from 1 species